GGACUACUCCUGCACUUACCUUCUAUGUUUCUAUGAAGUGAAAUGGGGAAAAAUCAUACCAUGAUUGUGUUAACACAGAAACAUAGUUCAUGACAAUAGUUAAAAGUAGAGCAUUCUUUUAAACACCAAGUAUUCAGAACACAAUGAACCCACGUUGCAUGCUGAAUCAUGCGUCCCCCGCCCUUGCCUGAGUUAAGAUUUUUUUUCUUGUUUUGAUAUUCUGAACGUUGACAGAGUGCCCAGAGUUGAAUUGCUGCCACGCUGUGGAGUUCACAUGGGGACAGCGUUGCUCCAGCGCAAGUUGAAUGCUGAUGAAUGUGGUAUUUAUUACACAGAGAAAAAAAAUCUUGGAAUUGGUUUUAAUGACUGCAUUCCUGACAGCAUAUUGACGAAAAUCAUUUUAAUUAUGUCUCUCUCUCACACACACAUACACAAAAUCACUGGUACUUAAAUAUUUGGAAUUUACCGCAAUCCUGAUCUGAAAUGCAUCUGUUGUACUAUUCAACAACAGUGAAUAAAAUGUGUUAAAAUGGGGAACUGUUACAAAUGGGUACUAUAUUGAAACAGACAUAAUAAAAACACACCAUGCAUGGAACACGUACAAACUUUUUUCGAAACUAAAAAAAACCUCAGUUGUUUAAACUCAUAUUUGUUUUUUAAUAUGAUCACCCAACCAAAAGCUCUUUAAUGUCAUCAUCUAUAAGUAAACGGAAUAAGUAAAUGCCAUUUAAACCAAUGUGUGUGCCAUUAACCGUUAAACUUUCACCGAUUUCUCUGUCAGACGUCCAUCUGACCAGCAUGGAAACUCCAGCAGAAGAAAGUGAAUCUUUCUUACCAAGCAAAGCUCUGAGAAUUCCAGUCGGAAUCUCUGCCGCCGCCGAGAUACUUGCCCGUCCCUUCACUUCAGACUUCACUUCACACGAAAGUCAUUCAUCUGAAGGUUACCUGAGGCCAUGUGGUACUUAUUCCGGCGAAUUCCCUCUCAUUCGAAGAGCUUUGAUGUGUUUCUUAAAACCCGACACAAACUUCCAAUACACGCAGCGAGAAUCAGAGUGCCUGGAGGCGAAGAAAUGUAAAGCUUCCCAAACACAGGAAAGGGACCGACUGCCAUUAUUGGGGUGACAAGAAUGCGGGUGCUCUUGAGGUUUUCUUAGGAAUUCUAAUCAAGAACCAAUGGACUAUCAAGAUCGAUCGAUGGAAAUUCGCGCCCACAAAAACUCGGGAGGUGAAGACUCAUCAGACGGAUAUCAUGGAGCUACGCCCACGAAAACUCGGGAAGCUCAAUGGAAUACUGAGAAGCUACAUCAACAUCUUCUUGUUAGAACAUUGUUAAAGUAUAGUGGUCAUCAUUGUAUUCUGUAGUUAUCAUUUAUGAUGAGGGUUAUAAUGAAUGAUAAAACGGGGGAAUGUUAAUAUUGGCUAAAUUAAAGACACCAUAAAAUGGAGGAUUCCUGCACUUGUCAGAAUUGCUUAACCCAUGUCAGCUGAACCUUACAGGCUUUGAUUGGCGCCAGCCAGUCUAGGCUCAGACUGAUAGGCAGGAUGGUAAGGGGUCCAGGUGUUCUUCCUGUUUCUCUUAAAUUGAUAACAUGUAUAGCGGUUUUGCAAACUAACCUUAAAUGCAUCAUUUCUAUUGGGUCACUGCAAAAGCAUUGUAAACAGUAUACAUAAUGUUGCAAGAUGGUCCUCCUGUUAAUUGAUGAUUGGUCGAACUGUUGAGUCUUGGAGAAAUUGUUUGAACCUCAGGGCACAUGUUUCAAUGUUUGUUCUUGUUUGCUUCCUUGGAGAGCUUUCUUUCUUAUACAAUGUAUAAGCUGCUGUAUUAUUGGGUUAGGGAAAUGUCUGUUACGUAUGGGGUUAAUCGAUACCUGUAAUUGGAUUAUUAAGAGAACACUCCCAUGUGGUUCGGCCCCUUGAGGUCCCGGGACAUAUAAAACUCUGCUACCAUGAGGUCCAGCGUCGAUCUUCUGGGAGAGCGUUUGGGAAUGCGUGACUUUCUGUAGUGCUCUGUUUGAGCGAGGCCUAGAGGGCUUGACCAGGCAGAUACGAGGAUUGAACCCGUGGUGGGAUAGGUACAGUAGUUGAACUGUAAUGCGGUUUUGUUAAAAUAAAGAU